AGCGAACGCUGGCGGCAGGCUUAACACAUGCAAGUCGAGCGGGCAUCCUUGUGGUGUCAGCGGCAGACGGGUGAGUAACGCGUGGGAACGUGCCCUUCGGUUCGGAAUAACUCAGGGAAACUUGAGCUAAUACCGGAUACGUGCGAGAGCAGAAAGGUUUAUCUGCCGAAGGAUCGGCGCGCGUCUGAUUAGCUAGUUGGUGAGGUUACGGCUCACCAAGGCGACGAUCAGUAGCCGGUCUGAGAGGAUGAUCAGCCACACUGGAGAUGAGACACGGCCCGGGCUCAGACGGGAGGAGGCGGGGGGGGAUAGGGAAGAAGGGGGGAAAGCCUGAUGCAGCGGCGCCGCGGGAAAGAAGAAGGUAUUCGGAACGUAAAGUUCCGUACUAUGGGAAGAUAAUGACAGUACAAAAGAAGAGAGCGCCGGCUAAAUACGUG
rnacentral:rRNA from 1 species